rnacentral:rRNA from 1 species
UACGAAGGGGGCUAGCGUUGCUCGGAAUCACUGGGCGUAAAGCGCACGUAGGCGGAUUGUUAAGUCAGGGGUGAAAUCCUGGAGCUCAACUCCAGAACUGCCUUUGAUACUGGCGAUCUUGAGUCCGGGAGAGGUGAGUGGAACUCCGAGUGUAGAGGUGAAAUUCGUAGAUAUUCGGAAGAACACCAGUGGCGAAGGCGGCUCACUGGCCCGGUACUGACGCUGAGGUGCGAAAAGCGUGGGGAGCAAACAGG